UACGAAGGGGGCUAGCGUUGCUCGGAAUCACUGGGCGUAAAGCGCACGUAGGCGGGUUCUUAAGUCGGUGGUGAAAUCCUGGAGCUCAACUCCAGAACUGCCUCCGAUACUGAGAGCCUCGAGUCCGGGAGAGGUGAGUGGAACUGCGAGUGUAGAGGUGAAAUUCGUAGAUAUUCGCAAGAACACCAGUGGCGAAGGCGACACGCUGGGCCGUACCCGACACUGAUGCGCGACAGCAUGGGGAGCAAACAGG
rnacentral:rRNA from 1 species